AGUGGCGGACGGGUGAGUAACGCGUAAGAAUCUAACUUCAGGACGGGGACAACAGUUGGAAACGACUGCUAAUACCCGAUGUGCCGCAAGGUGAAACCUAAUUGGCCUGGAGAAGAGCUUGCGUCUGAUUAGCUAGUUGGUGGGGUAAAGGCCUACCAAGGCGACGAUCAGUAGCUGGUCUGAGAGGAUGAGCAGCCACACUGGGACUGAGACACGGCCCAGACUCCUACGGGAGGCAGCAGUGGGGAAUUUUCCGCAAUGGGCGAAAGCCUGACGGAGCAACGCCGCGUGGGGGAGGAAGGUCUUUGGAUUGUAAACCUCUUUUCUCAAGGAAGAAGUACUGACGGUACUUGAGGAAUCAGCCUCGGCUAACUCCGUGCCAGCAGCCGCGGUAAUACGGGGGAGGCAAGCGUUAUCCGGAAUUAUUGGGCGUAAAGCGUCCGCAGGUGGUCAGCCAAGUCUGCCGUCAAAUCAGGUUGCUUAACGACCUAAAGGCGGUGGAAACUGGCAGACUAGAGAGCAGUAGGGGUAGCAGGAAUUCCCAGUGUAGCGGUGAAAUGCGUAGAGAUUGGGAAGAACAUCGGUGGCGAAAGCGUGCUACUGGGCUGUAUCUGACACUCAGGGACGAAAGCUAGGGGAGCGAAAGGGAUUAGAUACCCCUGUAGUCCUAGCCGUAAACGAUGGAUACUAGGCGUGGCUU
rnacentral:rRNA from 1 species